rnacentral:rRNA from 1 species
AGCGAACGCUGGCGGCAGGCCUAACACAUGCAAGUCGAACGGACCCUUCGGGGUUAGUGGCGGACGGGUGAGUAACACGUGGGCACGUGCCUUUAGGUUCGGAAUAGCUCCUGGAAACGGGUGGUAAUGCCGAAUGUGCCCUUUGGGGGAAAGAUUUAUCGCCUUUAGAGCGGCCCGCGUCUGAUUAGCUAGUUGGUGAGGUAAUGGCUCACCAAGGCGACGAUCAGUAGCUGGUCUGAGAGGAUGACCAGCCACAUUGGGACUGAGACACGGCCCAAACUCCUACGGGAGGCAGCAGUGGGGAAUCUUGCGCAAUGGGCGAAAGCCUGAUGCAGCCAUGCCGCGUGGAUGAUGAAGGUCUUAGGAUUGUAAAAUCCUUUCACCGGUGAAGAUAAUGACUGUAGCCGGAGAAGAAGCCCCGGCUAACUUCGUGCCAGCCGCCGCCGUAAUAC